UGGCAGGUAGCUUAGCCCCAGUGAUGUACUGGGCCGUACGCACUACCCUCUGUAGUGCCUUGUGGUCGGGGGCCGAGGAAUUGCCGUACCAGGCAGUGAUGCAACCAGUCAGGAUGCUCUCGAUGUUGCAGCUGUAGAACCUUUUGAUGAUCUCAGGACCCAUGCAAAAUCUUUUUAGUUUCCUGAGGGGGAAUAGGCUUUGUUGUGCUCUCUUCACGACUGUCUUGGUGUGUUUGGACCAUUCUAGUUUGUUGGUGAUGUGUACACCAAGGAACUUGAAGCUCUCAACCUACUCCACUACAGCCCCGUCGAUGAGAAUGGGGGCGUGCUUGGUCCUCCUUUUCCUGUAGUCCACAAUUUCCUUAGUCUUGGUUACGUUGAGGGAUAGGUUGUUAUUCUGGCACCACCCGGCCAGGUCUCUGACCUCCUCCCUAUAGGCUGUCUCGUCGUUGAUCAGGCCUACCACUGUUGUGUCGUCUGCAAAUUUAAUGAUGGUGUUGGAGUCGUACCUGGCCAUGCAGCUGUGAGUGAGUUAUAGAUUGGUAAUUCCUAUUGAAAGCAAGUCUGAUAUGCGGCAGAUCUGUUCUAUGUGUGAUAUUUCUAUGCUUCUUUAAGUUUAGCUUUUGCAUCUUUUUACUUUCGGUUUUGUACACCAGCUUCAAACAGCUUAAAAUACAAUAUUUUGGGUUAUUGAAAUAUAUUUCACAGCAGUUUAUAUUUUACAAUGAUUCUCUACACAAUACAUUGCUUGUUUUGUCACGUAAACUGAAAUUAGAUGAACAUGAUAACAUUUUAGCAACCAGAAAAUGGCUGAGCGACUUCUAUCUAUUGUACCUUGUGUUAUUGGUCAUGUUCCCCUGCUCCUACAUUGCUAACGAAUGCCAGAGCUUACAAUGCCUGGAUAGGUAUUUUACAUAUCAGCAUCAAAUCUCUAUUUUGUUAUAUAAGAGUCCAGACACCUUUUUGUGAUUUCACAUGUUUUUGAGAAACUUAUCCCAAGCAGCAAAUCACUUCCUCGUCCUCGUUCUCGUUGUGUAAAAUGUGGCCCACAAUUUUUAACAAAGGCUCCAAAAACCAACGAAAAUAUGUCCUUUUAGAAACAGCAAAGUUCGUAUAGUGAUGCAGGUCUUUAGAUGUUGUAUACAUGAAAUUGUGUCAUUCCAAACUUUAUCCGCAACGUUUUAUUACAUGUUGUUGCCACUCUAGCGAUACCUCUCCAUCCAUUCUACAGGUAACUGCCAAACACUUGAGAAAAUGAGGGAUACAAAGUAUAUUAAAAGCAUGGAGUGCUUCCACACAGGAAGUUCCAGAAGCUUGUAGAAGUGGUGUUUCCUUUAUUUUGGCAGUUACCUGUAGCAAUAUUUUACAAUGACAAUGGAACAGCUGGAUAGGGGAAAUGGCUUGAGUCGCGCAAACGGGAAUAUAACAUUGCAGAUAAAGUUCGGAAUGAUACAAUUUCAUGUGCACAAUAUCUGAAGACCUGCAUUUGGGAUCGCGAGUGGCGCAGUGGUCUAACGCUUCGAACACACCGACUGUGUCAUUGCAUCACUGCUGCAUUACAUUUUGCGCAGCUAGGCAACUAUACUGAUGCAGGUACCUUUUGCAAAUGGUCGCAUGCGGUUGGACACAUGGAGGAGAGAAUCAUUUUCGCAGUAUCCUCAAAACCGUGUCUUUUUGACACAACUGCUGACAGCUACAGGGACAUAAACACAAAAAAUGCUGCUUGGAGACAAGUGUCCACGAUAGUAGGAUUGCCAGGUCAGUUUAGUAGUGAGCUUGUGCUAGAUGUGGCUAGUUAGCGUUAGCUAGCUUUCGGCGGGGCUGGUCCCGGCCCAACAGCGCGCUCAAGACCACCUUCCUCAACGUUGGUCUCAUUGUUGAAAGAGCCUACUCUGCCUAUCUUGACUAUUUAUUAUUGCAUUUCGCUCCAAAACUGCAUUUUGGAGGGAAAUUAUAUUACAGGCUCUCACAAUUAAUUUGAGGAUGUCAUCGAAUAAAUAAUAUACUUGGCAAAUAAAUAAAUAAAAAAUGUAAAGAAAUUAUGCAAUCAAACUGUUUUUAUGUAAUCCCACCUUUUUACUGAAUAUGUGCAAAAAAAUAAUAAUCUACAUUCAUAUUUUGCUACUUUCUGUCAAGUCCACUCAUACAAUUUGAUGCAUACGUUCGAUUUAUCGAACGUAUGCACCACACAGAACGCACUGCAACUGCCUCUGCAACGCAAUGCUGCAAGGCAAAUGCAGCGUUCCAUUGGAAAUGAAUGUACUUCUGGUGUAUCGAAACGCAAUGUCACAGUCGGUGUGUUCGAAGCGUUACUAAGGUACUGCAUCUCUAUGCAAGAGGCAUCACUACAGUCCCUGUUUCAAAUCCAGGCAGUAUCACAUCCUGCAGUGAUUUGGAGUCCCAUAGGGUGGCGCACAAUUGGCCCGGGGUAGGCCGUCAUUGUAAAUACGAUUUUUUUCGUAACUGUCUUGCCUUGUUAACAUGAAGAAAAAAAACACUAUACUGAGAGCUUUGCCAUUUCUAAAAGGAUGUAUGUGGGUAUUCUUGGUGCCUUUGUUCAUGUUGUUUUCUAGACCCCAUACUACUCAAAUGACGACGAUGAAGUGAUUUGCUAUUUGGGUCUCCUCCAUCUCCACUAACUGAAACUAAUGGAGUCCUGGAGUGGCCUAGCCACUCUCCAGACCUUAAUCCCAUAGAAAAUCUGUGGAGGGAGCUGAAGGUUCGAGUUGCCAAACGUCAGCCUCGAAACCUUAAUGACUUGGAGAAGAUCUGCAAAGAGGAGUGGGACAAAAUCCCUCCUGAGAUGUGUGCAAACCUGGUGGCCAACUACAAGAAACGUCUGACCUCUGUGAUUGCCAACAAGGGUUUUGUCACCAAGUACUAAGUCAUGUUUUGCAGAGGGGUCAAAUACUUAUUUCCCUCAUUAAAAUGCAAAUAAAUUUAUAACAUUUUUA